rnacentral:sRNA from 1 species
CGCGCGGCUAGGCUGAUCCCCGAACGUCGAGCUUCCGCACUCGGUUGCCGCGCGACUUUCCUUUGCGGG